CAUGCGAGUCCAGAGCUUUCGGAGCUCGGCGUACCGCUCAGUAACACGUGGGUAACCUAACCUAUGCAGGGGAAUAACCUCGGGAAACUGAGUAUAAUGCCCCAUAGUCCACUACGCCUGGAACGGUGAGUGGAUCAAAGCUCAGGCGGCAUAGGAUGGGCCUGCGGCGUAUCAGGUUGUAGGGGGUGUAAAGUACCCUCUAGCCAUCUACGCGUACGGGUGUUGGGAGACAUAGCCCGGAGAUGGAUUCUGAGACACGAAUCCAGACCCUACGGGGUGCAGCAGGCGCGAAAACUUGACAAUGCGAGCAAUCGUGAUCAGGGAACUCCAAGUGGCUGGGGUAAGACCCAGUCUUUUCAUAACUCUUCAAAGGUUGUAGAAUAAGGGGUGGGUAAGGACGGUGCCAGCCGCCGCGGUAAUACCGGCGCCUCAAGUGGUAGUCGCUUUUAUUGGGCCUAAAACGUCCGUAGCCGGUUUGGUACAUUCGUGGGUAAAUCAACUCGCUCAACGAGUUGAAUUCUGCGAGGACGGCCAGACUUGGGACCGGGAGAGGUGUGGGGUACUCUCAGGGUAGGGGUAAAAUCCUGUCAUCCUGAGAGGACCACCUGUUGCGAAGGCGCCACACUAGAACGGAUCCGACGGUCAGGACGAAGCCUAGGGGCACGAACCCGGAUUAGAUACCCGGGUAGUCCUAGUGUAAACGCUGUGACUUGAUGUUGAGAAGCUCGAGCUUCUUCAGUGUCGAAGCGAAGGUGGAAAAGUCCACUGCCUGGUAGUACGGGUCGC
rnacentral:rRNA from 1 species